rnacentral:rRNA from 1 species
UACGUAGGGCGCAAGCGUUGUCCGGAAUUAUUGGGCGUAAAGAGCUCGUAGGCGGUUUGUCACGUCGGAUGUGAAAGCCCAGGGUUUAACCCCGGGUCUGCAUUCGAUACGGGCAGACUAGAGUGUGGUAGGGGAGAUCGGAAUUCCUGGUGUAGCGGUGAAAUGCGCAGAUAUCAGGAGGAACACCGGUGGCGAAGGCGGAUCUCUGGGCCAUUACUGACGCUGAGGCACGAAAGCUAGGGGAGCAAACAGG